rnacentral:snoRNA from 13 species
AUGCAGUUUUUCCUGGAAAGCUAUGAGAAUAGCUCAAGCUGCUGGCACUAGUUUUACCGCCAGAAGUUGUUCUAAACUGCUAAAUGAGCCUAGCUCGAGAUGCGUGUGCUGGGUUGCUUCUCAAUGCGAUCUGGUUCCUUUUCUCCUCGGGACAAUU